AGCGAACGCUGGCGGCAGGCCUAACACAUGCAAGUCGAACGAACCUUUCGGGGUUAGUGGCGGACGGGUGAGUAACACGUGGGAACGUGCCUUUAGGUUCGGAAUAACUCAGGGAAACUUGUGCUAAUACCGAAUGUGCCCUUCGGGGGAAAGAUUUAUCGCCUUUAGAGCGGCCCGCGUCUGAUUAGCUAGUUGGUUGAGGUAAUGGCUCACCAAGGCGACGAUCAGUAGAUGGUCUGAGAGGAUGAUCAGCCACAUUGGGACUGAGACACGGCCCAAACUCCGACGGGAGGCAGCAGUGGGGAAUAUUGCGAAAUGGGCGAAAGCCUGACGCAGCCAUGCCGCGUGAAUGAUGAAGGUCUUAGGAUUGUAAAAUUCUUUCACCGGGGACGAUAAUGACGGUACCCGGAGAAGAAGCCCCGGCUAACUUCGUG
rnacentral:rRNA from 1 species